rnacentral:rRNA from 1 species
ACUCCUACGGGAGGCAGCAGUGGGGAAUAUUGGACAAUGGGCGCAAGCCUGAUCCAGCCAUGCCGCGUGAGUGAUGAAGGCCCUAGGGUUGUAAAGCUCUUUCACCGGUGAAGAUAAUGACGGUAACCGGAGAAGAAGCCCCGGCUAACUUCGUGCCAGCAGCCGCGGUAAUACGAAGGGGGCUAGCGUUGUUCGGAUUUACUGGGCGUAAAGCGCACGUAGGCGGACUAUUAAGUCAGGGGUGAAAUCCCGGGGCUCAACCCCGGAACUGCCUUUGAUACUGGUAGUCUUGAGUUCGAGAGAGGUGAGUGGAAUUCCGAGUGUAGAGGUGAAAUUCGUAGAUAUUCGGAGGAACACCAGUGGCGAAGGCGGCUCACUGGCUCGAUACUGACGCUGAGGUGCGAAAGCGUGGGGAGCAAACAGGAUUAGAAACCCUAGUAGUCCC